UAUACCCAGUUGACUGCAAAGGUUUCAAAAGCUGAACUACACUCUGUGUGAGCUGGAUAUGGACCUAGGUCCUGCUGGUGAGAGUAAGGACCAACACAGUGAUUGGAAAGCACAAUCUGUACUACUCAAGCAAAGUAAGAACACCCAUGUCCUAUGAGCUGGCAAGAUUGAGAGGAGGGUAAGGAAAUGGGAGUAGAGAAAACAACAAAGAUUCUGGCUUAAUUGACUGGGUAGAUUCAGGUGACAUUACCCAAGGUACAGAAUGAAGAAGGAGGAAGAGCUGGUCUGGGGGUAAAGAUGAUGUUUUCCAAUUUGGAUCUGUUAAGAAUUAUGAACUCAGGGGAUGCCUGAUGAGAAUAGUAGACACUCCAUCGAUAUUAUCUUCUCUCCAAUCAGGCCUCACAGCUAAGAGAAGUUUCCAGGCCUCUCUCUGCCACAAUCCCUUCUCUGAUUCGCCUCCAGUGAUGCCCUCUCUACUCUGCCCAUUCGUCGUCCAUCAGCACCCUUCCUUUCCCACCCCAAGGUGCUGAGAACCUCCAGGUGAACUGCGAGCCACUGACAAUAAGAAUUACUUCUUUGGAAGUCCAGAAUAUUGGGAGCAGAGGUUCUGUAGAUGGGUGCAGUGAAGGAGUCUCAAUGCCUCCAGGAGGAGGAAGAUGGCAGAGGUCUGGAAGACCAAACGUCAGGGAGUCUGCUCCUCCGACGAUACUACCCAGUACGCAGUGGCCCAGAAAGAAGAAAGAAAGAAAUCCAGAAAUAAGAAAAUGAUUCUUAGAGAAUGCUUUUUUUUGUUUCCCUGGACGUCUUCAAAUCAUUUAUUUUUCCACUUCGUUUUUUGGCUGUUCCAUGUGGAGUGCCUGGAACUUCACUUCCGCUAUACCUCUGGAAGUUUCGGGAUCUGAGACCCGGCAAUGUGUUCCCUUUAACAACGCAUCUUACUGGAAGAGUGUUCAGACACUUCCCGGAGUAUGGAGUGAGCGUCAGGAACAUGCUGGGGUUCAAGUUCAUGUUUCCUGAGGGCCUCGUGUGUGGCAGCCACCAUGCUUAGCAGCUUUCCCAGGUUGAUUUAUCUGAUACUUUGAAGAGUCUAGAGGGAGAACAGUUACGGCCAGGCUCAUGCUAAAGAAAUAAAAACUAAGGCUGUAGCAGGUCGUUAUGUGCCCAAGGCUGCAAGACUAGUGAGUGAGGGGCAAGACUGAGGCUUGGCCCAGGUCCCCUGCUUGUCAUAUUACAUACAAUUGCCUGGUUAUUGUCACAGAAGGGAAACACCACACUGCUUCUUCUCCAAGAGAUGCAGAGAAUAUGUUUAUCCAACCCAAUAUGUCAUGUGGUUUCCAUGGGGAAAAGAAAUAAUCCUAAGAGGCUUCAGACAUUAUUUUCACCUAUUUGAAGGGACAAGCACUACCUGUUCAGCUCUCUAGACCCUGUGUAUACCUUCCCUGGGAUUCCAUAUUUUAUCAGAGCAACUUCUCCCUUUUCAAAAAGUCACCGUAACUUCCAAAGAGGCUUACAAGUAAGAGUUUCUAGAUCACCUUGGAAGACUUUUGAGGGUAUAUGCGGACAUAUGUGUGUGUGUGCUGGGGGUGAGGGAAGAAUGUGUGGAACAGAAAUUGAAUGAUGCUGAAAAAUAUAUCCUGAUUUCUCAGGAUCAUAUUUUUAAAAUGUUUUUAAUGUUUAUUUAUUUUUGAGAGAGAGAGAGAGAGAGAGAGAGGAGAGAGGAAGCAGGGGAGGGGCAGAGAGAGAGGGAGACACAGAAUCCAAAGUAGGUUCCAGGCUCCGAGCUGUCAGCACAGAUCCCGACGCGGGGUUCAAACUCACAUACCGUGAGAUCAUGACUCGAGCCGAAGCCGGAUGCUUAACCGACUGAGCCCCAGGACCAUAUUUUUAAUAAACAAGCAAUCAAGUAUUCAUGGCUACAACUAUAAUGGAUAAAACAACUGAAGUUAAAAACAGUCUAGGAGAAGUAAGACAGAAUAGCAUGGCACAGUGGUCAAAUGUGUUGGCUCUUCAGGUUGCUCGAUGUAUUCCAGUUCUGCUAUUUACUGGUUAUGUGACAUUUAACUGUUACUUAAAAAUGAACAGUGGGGCACCUGGGUGGCUCAGUCUGUUAAGCGUUUGGACUUUGGCUCAGGUCAUGAUCUCAUGGUUCAUGGGUUCCAGCCCCACAUUGGGCUCUGUGCUGACAGCUCAGAGCCUGGAGCCUGCUUAGGAUUCAGUGUUUCCCUGUCUCUCUGCCCCUCCCCUCUUUGCACUCUGUGUCUGUCUCUGUCUCUCUCAAAAAUGAAUAAACAUUAAAACAAUGUUUUAAAAGACUGGAAUUAAAAACACAGUUUAAAAAAGUAACCAACCAACCAACCGACAAGCAAACCCUGUGUGUUCAGUGUUCCUACCUAUACAAUGAGCAUAAUAACAGUAAGUAUGCAUAAGGAUGUUGAGAAGAAUAAAUGAGAAA